GCGCGCUUGAAAAACGAGAGGACGGAGGUUCUUUUCCUCCGAUGCCCAACGAUUCCGGGGAAGGUUUUCUGGUUUGGUGACUGAGAGUUGCACUGAGUGAGAAUGUUAAAAUCCAGUGAGAAUGUUACCACUCCCAUUAUUGAGUAAUCCCUUAAAGAAAAUUUAUGCUUAAAUAAAUUCUUCUAGGAGCAUUCARAAGMUCCAUAARAACUCAAAGCUUUCUAUAGAAACAAAGUSUUCGCGAGAAUUUUUCUCUCUCCUCUUCAGUAAGGAGAAWAACASAAAAAUAACKAGGGAAAUAAAAGGCCAAUGCCAAUAUUGUAUUSWCAAUCAAUAUUGUCUCUCUMUWUGUAAAAARMUUAAUGGUAAAAACUUAAAAGAGCUUCUGUUUUAAAAGUAUGAWGUUKUUAUAAAAGCAAGACGKGAGGGCAUUUAAAACUGUUUUAGGGGCCGUAGCCCAACUGGGAGAGCACCUGCUUUGCAAGCAGGGGGG
rnacentral:misc_RNA from 1 species